AUACGGAGGGAGCAAGCGUUAUUCGGAAUCACUGGGCGUAAAGGACGCGUAGGCGGGUUUGUAAGUCAGGUGUGAAAUCCUACAGCUCAACUGUAGAACUGCACUUGAAACUACAGACCUAGAGUAUGGAAGGGGCAGAUGGAAUUAGUGGUGUAGGGGUAAAAUCCGUAGAUAUCACUAGGAAUACCGAAAGCGAAGGCGAUCUGCUGGGACAUUACUGACGCUGAGGCGUGAAAGCGUGGGGAGCUAACAGGAUUAGAAACCCCUGUAGUCC
rnacentral:rRNA from 1 species